GCCUGGACGCUCUUUUAUGGUUUGGGAGAGACCAUGGGGCAGAGGGGUAAGAGUUUGUUUGUGUAUUGGUUUUGAGUUAACUUUAUUUUGCAGGUGUUAAAUACUUUGUGUGUAAAUAGUUUUAAUAUUUUGUAUAAGUUAAUUUUAGCAGGAAAGGUUUGUUGUAUAAUUGAAUAAACAUCUGUUGGGAAAGUGGUUCAGUCCAAUCUGCUGCAGGAGAUAAAUGGGGCUCUGCUGGUGGAGGCUGGGCUGCUCUGCAACAGGAAGGAGAGAGUUCCUGUCAAAAUCUUUGUCUGGUUAAAAAAAAAAAAAAAAAAAGGGAAUUUUUUGGAUACUGCAUCGUUGUGUCACCGUUUCCAGCCGCUUACACAGGCCAGGCUGUCAAAAGUGGUGUCAGAAGUGGGAUCCAUGCUACAAUGAUGAUGACCAGAGGAACAAAGAAACAGGACCAAGAGGAAGAGGAGGAAGUUGGAGCUUGGGCUGACCAAGUAGCCAUGGCAGCCCUGCAGAUCCACUGGAGGAGCUGAUUGACAUGGUGAAAUCUCUGCUCAGGACGAUGAUGAUCCAGAUGGAAGAACCAGCCAGGUAUGCCGUGGUGUCAGGCGUCAGAAUGAACCCAGGCUACUCCCCUUAACAGGAGAGGAUGAUAUUGAACAUUUCCUCACCACCUUUGAGAGAAUGGCUCAGGUUUGUCAGUGGUACAGAGAUGAAUGGGCUAUUCGACUGAUACCCCUGUUAACAGGUAAAGCUAGCACUGCCUAUGUUCUGAUGGAUGUAGAGCAUAUGGAGGACUAUAAUAACGUGAAAGAGGCUAUUUUGGCAAAAAAUGAGAUAACAGGUGAUACAUACCGGCACCGGUUCCGGUCACUGAACAUUAAGCUAGGAGAAACGCCUCAUGAGCUUUAUGUAUGGUUAAUAGGCUCGACACACGGGAGGCGACGUCGCUCCUUCUCCAUCAUUUCCUAUAGAACCUGCGUAUUGAGGUGAAAAUCUCUGUCCUCCUCCAGCCAAGCGACAGGCGACAUUCGUGCAUGUGAAAUGUGACGCAACACAAGAAAAUAGAAAAAUGUUCCAUUUUUGUCGCUGUCACCUGGCACUACAGCCAACCAGCGAGCGGCUUCAUGGACUGACCAAUGAGAGCAGGCUAGACAGCGCAGCCUGCAAACACUUUGAACAUGGAAGAAUGGAUCGUUUUAGCUGAAUAAAAGGCAGCUGUGUGGCGACAGAGUGAAUUCGUCCAAACGUAAGUUCUGGAUUUAUGUGGAUCAGCCUUGAGGUCCAUCAAAUGAUGAUAUUCACGAUGCUGUUUCCUAUUUUGGUAAACUCAGAUGAACCCUGGGUUGUCUUUCUUUUAUACAGUAAACAGCAAGAUUUCUGUCAAUUCGUGCAAAAUCUUCUGACUCUCCAUCUGUCAUACUUUGUCACGUCAGGGAUUGGUUUGGAAAUGUCAAAAUAACCACCAAUAUCAUAACCAAUCAAAUUUCUUGGAGAAAAGCGAUCUUAGAGCGCGAUGCACGGCUCUGCUGCCCUCGCUGCAUUGUCGCAUCCCCUGUGUUCUGUUUCACGAAGGUUGCGAUGAGUUUCGCCUGUCGCUGUCGUUGGUUGCCUCCCAUGUGUCGAGCUCAUAACAGUUAUUUAUAAGAUGGUUCAAGCCUGAAAAAUUAACUGUGAAAGAAAUAUCUGAGCAGAUAAUCCUGGAACAGUUCCUGAGGAUGGUCCAUCCGGAGUUGAAGGUUUGGAUCUGUGAGCAUGAUCCAAAGACAGUGGAGGAAGCAGAUUGCCUUGCUGAAGUCUUCACAUACCAGGAGGGGGAACAAGAACAGCCACUUCGGCUGAGAGACUCAUUAUGCCCAACCAACAGAUGUACUGCAGACAGAUGAUCCCACACUGAAGCCAUGGUUUGAAAAAGUGACUGAGACUGAAGGGAUCCAGCAAAGCCAGGGUGGAUGACUUGAUGGAGAGAGUGGGCAGAGCAAGCUGCAUCACUACAUUAGACCUGAGCAAUGGAUACUGGCAAGUGGCCUUGGCACCAGAGGCAAAGGAACUGAUGGCCUUUAAAGUAAUACAACCUGCUAACGGAUGCCGACCAUGUGACUGGACUGGCCUACAAGCUGCUGUUAACACCGUCCGUCACACAGGUAGCCUGGGAGACGACUUUCCACCAUGAAAAUGCUGCAGGUUUGUGAUGAAGCGGAGCGAAAACAUCCAGCUUUGGGAAAGAAGUGACAAAGAUUUGACUUCGUCUGCUUUGUGCCGAGAAGUGUUUCACCUGCUUCCAGAGAAAUCUCUGCCGUACCAGCUGUACCUGGAGGCAGAGAGGAGGCUCUCCUAGAAGAGGUACCAGGAGGUAUUGACUCUAUCUUUCUCCCAUACGUCUAUAAGGAGAACAUCAAGCUUUUUAUCACGCUUGGAGACGCUAAUGUGGUGUUUCACUGAACCAAACACACACAACAAAGUUAGCAAGUUAAGUUUUCUUAUUGAUUGUAUGGUUGAAAUUAUGCAAUUAAAACAGAAAUAGUUAAAGGAUACAUAAAUUUUUUAUUAUUUUGAUUACAUUUGACUAAACUCAAUAUUUUAUUUACACCACAAUCAAUUAACAAAUGAGCUCUAAUGUGAUUUGUUUAGUUUGUUCCGUGUCAUUGUAGCGUGACCCUCCAUCUCCACACCCAACUAUUCUUUUAACUGGUCAAGAUUGAAAAUGGCCUUCACCAAAAGAGCUCCAAACGUUGUGAAAGCAGAUGAUGUUGAGGAAGGGAUCAUCUCUGCCUUCUGCACUUACUUUGUCUUCAAACUGG